AAAUAAAUUUUUAUAGUUUAAAUAUUUUAUUAUAAAUUUGUUUUACAUAUAAAUUUUAGUGUUAAUUUUUAAUUAUUUUAAUAAUAAUUAAAUAAUUUUGUAGUAAUUAAUAUUAAAAAUUUAAGAAAUUAUGAUUUAGUAAUAUUUUAAUUAAUAACAAAUUUUGUGCCAGCAGUUGCGGUUAAACAAAAGUUAAAUUAAAUUUUAUUAGAAAUUAAUUAAUAAUUAAUAUUAAAAAUUAAUUAAAUAUUAAAUUAUUAAGUGAAAUUUUAAUUUAAUUAAAAUUAAUUUAAAAAUUAUAAUUUAAUAAAUUUUAUCUAUAAACUAGGAUUAGAUACCCUAUUAUUAAAAAAUUAAAUUUAAAUUCUAAAAUAGUAUUUAAUUAUUUAUUGAAACUUAAAUAAUUUGGCGGUAUCUUAGUUCAUUUAGAGGAAUCUGUUUAAUAAUUGAUAAUCCACGAAUAAAUUUACUUAAUUUAAUAUUUUGUAUAUCGUUGUUAAAAAAAUAUUUUUAAAUAAAAAUAAUAUUUUAAAAUUUAAAAAAAAAAUUAAAUCAGAUCAAGAUGCAGAUUAUAAUUAAGAAUAUAAUGGAUUACAAUAAAUUUAUUUAUUAUUGAUUUUAAUUUGUAAGAAUUAAAUGAGAGUGGAUUUAAAUGUAAUUUUAAUUAAUUUAUUAAAAUGAUUAAAAAUUAAUAUAUGUACAUAUUGCCCGUCGCUUUCAUUAAUAAAUUGGAAUAAGUCGUAACAAAGUAGAGGUACUGGAAAGUGUUUCUGGAAAUAA
rnacentral:ncRNA from 1 species